AUACGGUUCUUAAUUCCCCGCAGUUUACAGACUUAAAAAACUGCAUUUUGACCGUCAUGAGUGCACCCUCUUCAGUCAACAUGUCUUCUGGGGAAGCUAAUCGCUCAGGUAAUGAUAUGCAAGGGCCUGUACUGUUACCUCAGUACAGAAAUCAUUUUGAAAUGGACACCACUGAAGAUUUGAGAAGGAAACGCUAUAAGCUUGAGAAAAAACAUUUGGAAUUCAUCAAUCAAUACAAUCAAGAUAUGUCUUGCUAUGAAAAAGAAUAAUGAAAUUAAGGUUGGCAGUCAAGAG